rnacentral:rRNA from 1 species
AGAGGCAUCGUGAUGCAGCCAUGCCGCGUGAGUGAUGAAGGCCUUAGGGUUGUAAAGCUCUUUCGGCGGGGAUGAUAAUGACGGUACCUGUAAAAGAAACCCCUGCUAUUUCCGUGCCAGCAGCCGCGGUAAUACUCCGGGGGUUAGCGUUGUUCGGAAUUACUGGGGGUAAAGCGCGCGUAAGCGGUUUGUUAAGUCGGGGGUGAAAUCCCGGGGCUCAACCCCGGAACUGCCUCCGGACUCUACCUCUUGAGUUCGAGAGAGGUGAGUGGAAUUCCCAGUGUAGAGGUGAAAUUCAUUUAUAUUUGGAGGAACACCAUGGGCGAAGGCGGCUCACUGGCUCGUACUGACGCUGAGGUGCUAAAGCGUGACUGAGCAAACAGGAUUAAAUACCCUGGUAGUCCACACGAUUAAACUAUGAUGGCAAUCCGUCGGGUAAACAUGCUCCUCUGUGACGCACCUAACAUUAUUAAGCAUUCUCUCCCUGGGGAGUACGGUUCGCAAGAUUACAAACUCAAAAGAAAUGUGAACGGGAGGGUUAAACUUCAAAGGAUUUUGCGGGG